AUUGAACGCUGGCGGCAGGCCUAACACAUGCAAGUCGAGCGGAUGAAGGGAGCUUGCUCCUGGAUUCAGCGGCGGACGGGUGAGUAAUGCCUAGGAAUCUGCCUGGUAGUGGGGGAUAACGUCCGGAAACGGGCGCUAAUACCGCAUACGUCCUGAGGGAGAAAGUGGGGGAUCUUCGGACCUCACGCUAUCAGAUGAGCCUAGGUCGGAUUAGCUAGUUGGUGGGGUAAAGGCCUACCAAGGCGACGAUCCGUAACUGGUCUGGGAGGAUGAUCAGUCACACUGGAACUGAGACACGGUCCAGACUCCUACGGGAGGCAGCAGUGGGGAAUAUUGGACAAUGGGCGAAAGCCUGAUCCAGCCAUGCCGCGUGUGUGAAGAAGGUCUUCGGAUUGUAAAGCACUUUAAGUUGGGAGGAAGGGCAGUAAGUUAAUACCUUGCUGUUUUGACGAUACCAACAGAAUAAGCACCGGCUAACUUCGUG
rnacentral:rRNA from 1 species